rnacentral:rRNA from 1 species
AGAGUUUGAUCAUGGCUCAGGACGAACGCUGGCGGCGUGCUUAACACAUGCAAGUCGAGCGGUAAGGCCCCUUCGGGGGUACACGAGCGGCGAACGGGUGAGUAACACGUGAGCAAUCUGCCCUUCACUUUGGGAUAACUCUGGGAAACGAGAGCUAAUACCGAAUACGACCACUUCAGGCAUCUGAUGGUGGUGGAAAGUUCCGGCGGUGAAGGAUGAGCUCGCGGCCUAUCAGCUAGUUGGUGGAGUAACGGCCCACCAAGGCUCCGACGGGUAGCCGGCCUGAGAGGGUGACCGGCCACACUGGGACUGAGACACGGCCCAGACUCCUACGGGAGGCAGCAGUGGGGAAUAUUGGGACAAUGGGCGAAAGCCUGAUCCAGCAACGCCGCGUGAGGGAUGACGGCCUUCGGGUUGUAAACCUCUUUCAGUAGGGACGAAGCGCAAGUGACGGUACCUACAGAAGAAGCACCGGCCAACUACGUG